GGGCAGGGGGGCCGUGCCGGGGGUCCCGGCCCUCCGGCUGUGGUGGGGAGGCAGAGGGCUGCCCGGGAGCUGCUCGGCGCAGGGUUCCCGCAGGGAACACCCGUGUUUACAGCAGCGAGGGGGGAACUGAUGCAAUUCCCAAGCUCCCGUUACGUGAGCGGAGCCGCCCGGGGCAGCAGGUGGGAUGGGGGUUAUCACAGACUCGCUGGAAAUCAGCUCCCACGCCAGCCCCACAGCGGGGAUGUGGCCUUCCGUCCCUGCCACGCCGGGGGAUGGCGAGCUGCCUCAUGGAAGGGGAAAAAGCAGUCGCUCAUCUCGUGGAGACUCCCCUGAACGACACGGACACCCAGGAGCAACAGAAAGAGGGUGAAAAUGGAGCCGAGAGAGCAGCAGCCGCAGAGGAGCUGGCAGAGACCAGGGACACGGGGGACAGCGGGGCUCCCCCGGGGACUCUGCGCCCAGACCAGGACGUGCCACGUGUGAACCACCGGGACGGUGCAGCAGAGACUCUCCUGAAGCCCUCGACUGCCUCGAUGGACAGGCAGAGGAGCACCGAGCUCUUGGCCCUGGACAGUUUCCCCCUGAAGCACUCGAACACGCUGACGAACCGGCAGCGAGGCAACGAGGUCUCUGCCCUCCCAGCCACGCUGGACACAUUGUCCAUCCACCAGCUUGCUGCCCAAGGUGAGCUCAGCCAGCUGAAGGAGCACCUUCGGAAGGGUGAGAACUUGGUAAAUAAACCUGAUGAGAGAGGUUUCACACCUCUGAUCUGGGCUGCAGCCUUCGGAGAGAUCGAAACGGUCCGUCACCUGCUGGAAUGGGGCGCUGACCCCCACGCGCUGGCGAAGGAGCGGGAGAGCGCCCUGGCCCUGGCCAGCAUGGGCGGCUACACCGACAUCGUGGUCAUGCUGCUGGAGAGGGAUGUGGACAUCAACAUCUACGACUGGAACGGCGGCACUCCCCUGCUCUACGCCGUGCGCGGCAAUCACGUCAAGUGUGUCGAGGCCCUACUAGGUAACGGGGGAAGAUCUGCACUUAGUCCUUGGCCUCGAAUCCGCUGCCCGUUGCUCGUGGCGCUGAUCUGACGACGGAGGCAGAUUCUGGCUACACGCCGAUGGAUCUCGCCGUGGCCCUGGGACACAAGAAAGUCCAACAGGUGAUCGAAAAUCACAUCCUCAAGCUAUUCCAGAACAAGGAGCAGGAGUGAUGCAGCCACUCGCGCUGCACUGCUGCAGCGCCAGCGCUUCUCCCGGCCCACACAGGACCCUCCUCUGGGACCACCACGGCCUCACCCAGCCGUCCCACAAUGAACGGGGCAGCGGCACGAUGCCUCCAGCAAGAAGCACGUGGAGGAUGCCAGGAACCUCGGUGGAUCUGUGCCUCUCCGCGACGGCCACGGUCCCCUGCACCCGGGGACACUCAUUCCUCAGAGCAGCUGCAUUUCUGCCCUGUCCGGGCUCGGCUGCUUGUGCGUGUGUGCGUUCAGGUAUUGCAUUAUUGGAAUUAAACUCUAAAGCAGCUGCGUGGA